rnacentral:rRNA from 1 species
GCAGGCAAACGCUUGAAUACGUUAGCAUGGAAUAGUAGAAUAGGACUUUGGUUCUAUUUUGUUGGUUUCUAGGACCGAAGUAAUGAUUAAUAGGGACAGUUGGGGGCAUUAGUAUUUAGUUGUCAGAGGUGAAAUUCUUGGAUUUACGAAAGACUAACUUCUGCGAAAGCAUUUGCCAAGGAUGUUUUCAUUAAUCAAGAACGAAAGUUAGGGGAUCGAAGACGAUCAGAUACCGUCGUAGUCUUAACCAUAAACUAUGCCGACUAGGGAUCGGACGAUGUUAAUUUAUAAUUGACUCGUUCGGCACCUUACGAGAAAUCAAAGUUUUUGGGUUCCGGGGGGAGUAUGGUCGCAAGGCUGAAACUUAAAGGAAUUGACGGAAGGGCACCACCAGGAGUGGAGCCUGCG